AAAUACCGAUCCCCUUAUGAACACCGAAGUUAAGCAACGUCGAACCUGUUCAGUACCAAGAUGGUUGACCGCUUGGAAAUACCAGGUCUU